GAGUUUGAUCCUGGCUCAGAAUGAACGCUGGCGGCAUGCCUAACACAUGCAAGUCGAACGAAGGCUUCGGCCUUAGUGGCGCACGGGUGCGUAACGCGUGGGAAUCUGCCCUCAGGUUCGGAAUAACAGCGAGAAAUUGCUGCUAAUACCGGAUGAUAUCGCGAGAUCAAAGAUUUAUCGCCUGAGGAUGAGCCCGCGUAGGAUUAGCUAGUUGGUGUGGUAAAGGCGCACCAAGGCGACGAUCCUUAGCUGGUCUGAGAGGAUGAUCAGCCACACUGGGACUGAGACACGGCCCAGACUCCUACGGGAGGCAGCAGUGGGGAAUAUUGGACAAUGGGCGAAAGCCUGAUCCAGCAAUGCCGCGUGAGUGAUGAAGGCCUUAGGGUUGUAAAGCUCUUUUACCCGGGAUGAUAAUGACAGUACCGGGAGAAUAAGCUCCGGCUAACUCCGUGCCAGCAGCCGCGGUAAUACGGAGGGAGCUAGCGUUAUUCGGAAUUACUGGGCGUAAAGCGCACGUAGGCGGCUUUGUAAAGUUAGAGGUGAAAAGCCUGGAGCUCAAACUCCAGAAUUGCCUUUAAAGACUGGCAUCGUUGAAUCCCGGAGGAGGUG
rnacentral:rRNA from 1 species